UCUGGGUAUAUUCACCACGUAUCUGAGACGCAAGUGUCAUAUUCACCCAUGAAAGCCUUAUGUCCAAUAUGUCUGUUAUCUAUAAGGAUGCCACAGGACUCUUUUCUUGCUUUUACAAAUCCAGACUAA